UGAUGACAGUCUCCGGAAUCGCUGCACUGCUUUGAUGAAAGCCCAUUUGAACCCUUUUUUCCAUGCUGAUGGAUCUGAGCGUUCGGC
rnacentral:snoRNA from 1 species